GCCGAUGUGGCGGAAUUGGUAGACGCGCGCGAUUCAAAAUCGCGUUCCUUCGGGAGUAUGGGUUCGAUUCCCAUCAUCGGUA
rnacentral:tRNA from 1 species